GUUUCUUGAUCUUGAAUUCUGGGUCGUGUUCUUUUUCUUCUUGUUUGAUUUGUGGAUUGUUUUGGGGAUGAACUUGUGGGCAUAUUUUGUUUUGCUUAUUGAUGGCUUGUGGGCGUGGGAUUUCGUUGUGGCAUGCUCUAACUUUUGGUUUUGAAACUGCAUCUGAGGACAUGAUGGAUAUGCAGAAUCUUUUGUUGCUUCCAAAUUGGCUUCUGUAUUUGCGCACAAAAAGGUGGCAAGUCUUGCUUAGUUUUAUUCAUUGAUCUAUGCUAAUAGGAGAAUUUGUGGUUAGCUUCAGUUUCCUAGUUGACCUGAAGAGAACAACCUCUUGCACUUGCGGCAGUUUUAUGUUUAUGUGGAGAGAAUAAAAUGUCAGGCUUUAGCAGGAUAUGGAAACCGACAUUUUGUUUAGCGAUGUGAAGAGCACAGUGUCUUUGUACUUCAAGCCAAUGGUACGGAGAGCACUGCCAUCUUCCAAGCUUACACAGCUUGCUCAAGUUGCCUACUUGUUUUUUAUUCAGGGAUGGUACCCCUUUGGUUUCCGGGUAAAAAUGAAUAUUAAGAUAGAUCUAUUGAGCUAAUGCCGAGUCCUUGGUGGUUGGGGAACUCACGCAGCUUAGAUAUUUGACAAUGAUUCUCUUCCAGCCUUUAGUUAUAUGAAAUCAGGGAUUGUUGAGAUUGAUAGCAUGCGGGAUGUUAUAUCUGGAACACAGUAGAGCAGAUCCUCAUGUAGUUGAGUUGAGAUGUCACUAUCCACUUGGGAAGAGAGUACAAAUUAAGUCAAGUUGAAGGAGCUCUUAGAGGGCUAUUGAACUAAGAGAAUCUUGAGUGAGAUGAGAAGAAUUAAGAUUGAGAAGAGAAGAGAAUAGAUGAGAAGGGGAUUGAAGAAGAGAUAGUGAGUUGAGAGAGAAUAUUGCUUCUGCAUUUCUUUUGCUAUUAUUUCUUUCGUUAAGGAAAAUAGCAAGAGAAAUGAGCUUAUAUCUGCUCUUACAACUUCCCAUUGGCAUAAUAGUAGUAGAACUCCUAAAGCCAUCAUAAUAGCAAUUUUGCUACUACUUUCUAACUAACAGCCAUAUGACAACCAUCAUUCUCUCGUCUACCCUCUCGUAUGAUCUAUUCACUCAUAUUACUCUGGGGAUAUGACAUGUUGCAGACGCUGGUCAGAAAGUUUUGCCUUGUCUUCUCAUUCUCAAUGCAGAUUUACUUAGAGUUACGGUGUUUGUUGCAUUCAACUUGACUAUUUACUCAAGGAAAGUAUUUUUCUGUGGGGGGACUAAAGUUGACUGAAAAAUAUUGGGUACUCAAACUUUGUAAGCGCCAGAACUGGCUUGCAGUUUGAGGGAGCAUUUAUAAAUGAAACUGUUUAAUACAGUGUUUUACAUCUCUGUCCUUUUGCUGAGGUCAAUUCACUUGGUUUGCUGUGGGGGUGGUUUGGGAAUUUGAAUUAAAAGGAGCGAGAUAAAGGAGCAAACUGUCAAAGCCGUUUUUUUUUUACCUGAUAACUAGUAGAGUUGAGUUUAAGUUUCAUCUUCCUGAGUUUUCUAAAUUUGUUGAACCUGGACAGCGAGGUAAUGAUCAUGGAAGGGUAUGACACUGAACUAAAUUCUGGCUUUGUUUGUACUAUGAUGCACAAGGUAUUGGGUACUAAAUUUUGGACAUGAGACUACUGCAUGAAAAAAGUUUACUGUCUCGAGCGCUUCUGCCUUUUCUCUUUGCAUGUCACUAUGUUAGUAAGAAUAGUGCUAGGUACACCGAGACUGGUUUCAAAAAUGGUUUACUAAGUAAUGUGGCAGAUCCUUAUUGGGUGUCGAACAUGGCCUAGUGGUUUAAAAGACUCCUACAGUCUACCAUGUUACUUUGUAGACCUGUGUGUACACUGGUAUUAGUACACCUUGCAUUACUUACAUCAGUAAUUACUGGAAACAUAGGGUGACUUGCCUGAAUGCCUUCCAGAUAAGGUAAUCUGGGUUCCAACAUCCUGUACAAUAAUUGAUUGUAAUGUCAAAUCUGUCCAUUAUAAGUAAUUUAGAUGGUAAUUUUUAGUGUUGAUCAUUUCAUAUAAAAUUUUGCUUUAGCCUGAAAGGGCAGGGGAAGACGUAAAACAUGUGAAAUGAGACAAUAAAUAAAGAUUUCGGGCAUUCAGAGUUUCAAAAGACUUGAUAAAGAAUCGACUGCAAUGGUAAAAGGGCCAUAUGGCGACUCCACUUAGUGGGAAAAGGCUUAUUCUGUUUUUUUCGCUGCUUUCUAUUAUGCAGUUUCAAGUUUCAACUUCCUUCUUGUUUCAAGGGUCAUCUGGUUUAGUACAUCCCCAGAUCAUCCGAUUAGUUACACUUGAAACUUUUUAAGCUUGUUGCUUUCUCAGCAUUGGCAAGGAUAAGAUGAUGAAAGCUUUGUUCCUUAGAAUGAGGUGGCAAUAUACACCUCAUCUUUUGAUUUUCUUUACCUCUUUAUGAAUUUAAUAAAAUUACGUUGGAAAUGUACAAUCUGAUGAGACAUGGCAUACUUUUUUUAGCAACCAUAAAUUAUCUAAAUUGACAUGUUUAAAUGUUGAGAGCCAUUACAAGCUCAUUUUUCUGUGAUACUUCUUGUGCA